UGCCCUGUGUACUUCAUUCUUUUUCUUUCUAGGCAAAGGGGAGUGACUCACCUUUGUCUUAUUGUCUUAUGAGCAGUUUAUUAACCAUUUAUAUAUUUCAUCUAUGAGGAACUUAAUACAAAUCAAUAUGUUGCUCCGCUAAUCAAAUUAUACAUAUUACUCCAUCAAAUGCAUGUAAUCAUUAGUCAAUAAAUUUGUACAAUUUUGGGUAAUGAAACAAUAAGCUUACAUUAGAGAUUUAAUAUGAGUAAUACUAAGCUCUGAGUGCACCUUGAUUGGCCGUAAAUAUGUUUUGCGUCCGCGACCAUCUGAUUUGGAGUAAUAAUAAAGAGCAAGUGUUGGUAUUUAACAUAAGUAAUAUUGAGCCUUCAGUGUACCUUGACUGACCAUAAAUGCACUUUACUUCCGUAACCAUCUGAGUUUAAGUAAUAAUAAAGAACAAGUGUUGGUAUCUAGUAGGUAUCAGCUCCGUAGAGAUACAUUGCACUUUUACAUGCCUCAAAAGAGCUGGACAAAUUGCAAACUACAUGCUGAUUUAGAAGAUUUUACAACUAAUUUAUCAAAAAUGCUCUUAAGAUGUCCGUGUACACAAUUGCUUCCACCGCUGGAUUUGAUGAUUCAUUUAUUGUUCAAAAAAUAAUUGGAACACGAAACCCUGAUAAUUAAAAGGUACAUAACAUAAGUGGAAGAAAUUGUUUGUGAGCACUAAUAUUGAGUAAUGAAGCAAUAAAUUGAUUAUCGAAAUUUGAAUAAUAAUAAAGAAUAAGUAUUGAUAUUUAAUGGGUGAGAUUUUCCAUCCCGGUUCCGAAGAGAUAUAUUGCACUUCUAUAUACCUUAUAAGAGCUAGACAAAUUGCAAACAACAUGCCAAUUAGGAGAUUUGCUAUUCAGUUCGCCAAAAUGCUCUUAAGAUGUCCAUGUACACAAUUACUUUCACUUCAUAAAUUGAAGCAAAAGACUUAUCCAUAGAAGAAUAUACUACCGAAUUUGAGCAACUCAUGAUGAAAUGCAGUAUUGUUGAAGCAAAAGACUUAUCCAUAGGUAUACUACCGAAUUUGAGCCACUCAUGAUGAAAUGCAGUAUUGUUGAACCGAAAGAAUAAAUUAUAGCCCGCUACGGGGAAGGUUUCAAAUCAGAAACAAACGGUUCAAUUGUUGUUGAAAAACUGCUAGAGCGGGGAAAUCCCGACAGUUAGAAGUGUGUACACCCACACCCACACCCACACACACACAUAGAGACACACACACAUGUAUAUAUAUAACAGCUACCAGAGCAAAUUCGCAAACAUAAUAACUAAAGCCACAGUUUUUGGCUUACCUUAAAUGAGCAAAUAAACGGCGCACUCCCUACAGUAAUCAGCAUGAUUUUUGCUAUUUAAAUUUAUCUCACAAACAUCAUCACUGUGAUUCACUGGAUCACAUAGAGUGAGAGGAUGUUGGUGAGAAAAAAUUUGUUUUGAGUGAACCGGGUGUUGAAUUUGACCUUGCUCUUCUUGUGGAGGAAUAAAGCAAGAGAAAUAUUGGCUGAAACUGAAAUAUUGAAUCUGAUCCAUAUGAUCAGAUAUAGCAGGUAAGGAUUUGUGAGUUGAACUUGAAUAGUUACAUGGAGCUAUUAACAAAUGGAUGUGUGAUAAGGAAUUUGAGGUGGGGAGAGAGAGUUUACAGAGAAAAUGAAUCCCCUGCCCAAGAAAUCAAUAGCAAGAGGAUGGUGAUGAUCUAGAUGCCGUGGAUCAUAUGUCAAUACUUUAUCUUGUAUUUGAUAUUGAUGGGUUGGAAAAUAAAUUAAUAUAGUGUCGAGAUUGAUUGUCGGCAAGAUUAACGAAAAAUAUUAUAUAUUAGGAUCUGGAGAUUGAU
rnacentral:lncRNA from 1 species